rnacentral:rRNA from 1 species
GAACGAGAAAGUUUUCUUCGGAGAACGAGUAAAGUGGCGCACGGGUGAGUAACGCGUAAGUAAUCUACCCUUGCAUUCGGGAUAACUACGGGAAGCUGUAGCUAAUACCGAAUACGUUCAUAGAGUUACGACUCUAUGAAGAAAGAUGACCUCUUCUUGAAAGUUAUCGUGCAGGGAGGAGCUUGCGUACCAUUAGCUAGUUGGUAGGGUAAAGGCCUACCAAGGCAACGAUGGUUAGCGGGUCUGAGAGGAUGAUCCGCCACACUGGAACUGAAACACGGACCAGACUCCUACGGGAGGCAGCAGUGAGGAAUAUUGCGCAAUGGGGGAAACCCUGACGCAGCGACGCCGCGUGGAUGAUGAAGGCCUUAGGGUCGUAAAAUCCUGUCAGAUGGGAAGAAAUGCAUGAGGGAACAAUACCCCUUGUGUUUGACGGUACCAUCAGAGGAAGCACCGGCUAACUCCGUGCCAGCAGCCGCGGUAAUACGGAGGGUGCAAGCGUUGUUCGGAUUCACUGGGUAUAAAGGGUGCGCAGGCGGCCUGUUAAGUCAGGGGUGAAAUAUGACGGCUCAACCGUCAAACUGCCCCUGAAACUGAUAGGCUUGAGUCCGAGAGAGGUAGGUGGAAUUCCAGGUGUAGCGGUGAAAUUCGUAAAUAUCUGGAGGAACACCGGUGGCGAAGGCGGCCUACUGGCUCGGAACUGACGCUCAGGCACGAAAGCAUGGGGAGCGAACGGGAUUAGAUACCCCGGUAGUCCAUGCCGUAAACGAUGGGUACUAGGUGUUGGGGGAUUCUACCCCCUCAGUGCCGCAGCUAACGCAUUAAGUACCCCACCUGGGGAGUACGAUCGCAAGGUUGAAACUCAAAGGAAUUGACGGGGGCCCGCACAAGCGGUGGAGCAUGUGGUUUAAUUCGAUGCAACGCGAGGAACCUUACCUGGGCUUGACAUGCAGGGGACAGGUGUAGAAAUACACUCUUCUUCGGACUCCUGUACAGGUGCUGCAUGGCUGUCGUCAGCUCGUGUCGUGAAAUGUUAGGUUAAGUCCUGCAACGAGCGCAACCCCUAUCUUUAGUUGCCAUCAGGUAAUGCUGAGAACUCCAAGGAGACUGCCGGUGACAAACCGGAGGAAGGUGGGGACGACGUCAAGUCAUCAUGGCCCUUAUGGGAUGGGCUACACACGUGCUACAAUGGUCGGUACAGAGGGUCGCAACUCCGCGAGGACAAGCUAAUCCCACAAAGCCGAUCGUAGUCCGGAUUGGAGUCUGCAACUCGACUCCACGAAGUUGGAAUCGCUAGUAAUCGUGAAUCAGAACGUCACGGUGAAUACGUUCCCGGGCCUUGUACACACCGCCCGUCACACCAUGGGAGUGGGUUGCAAAAGAAGUGGGUAGACGAACCUUC